AAUGAAGGAUUAGACAAAAUUGUCAAAAAUACACAACUAUUGGAAAUAUUUAUGGAAUCUCUCCAUAGAUGCAAUAACUAUGCGAGAUAUAAGGGAUGUCGUAUACUGGAAGAAAAUAUGAUGGGAUCAAUGGUUCCAAAGACCCGGAAUAUCUUCGAGCAAUAUAUUGGAAAAAAAAUAUGGAAUAGAUAUUCAAAGAAAACCUGAUUCGAUGGAUAGUCCGUGUGGAGCAUUGGGAGGGAAAUAUUUUGACACUUCCCCCUGCCUCGGUAGACAUGUUGCCGGUGUGUGUGGGUCUUUGAGCACCUGCGAUCUGUUGGAAGGAUUUCCUUACGGCUUAGUCAAGCAAAUGCCCACAACUGACCAGCAACCAAGUAUAUAUGUAUCUAAGUUGAAGUAAUUUGCUGAUGAUCAGUUCAUAAUUGUUUCCAUUACACCAAUCAGGGAAUAAAUACAUAAUGACCGAUAA